rnacentral:rRNA from 1 species
CCUACGGGGGGCUGCAGUGGGGAAUAUUGGACAAUGGGCGAAAGCCUGAUCCAGCCAUGCCGCGUGUGUGAAGAAGGCCUUCGGGUUGUAAAGCACUUUCAGUGGGGAAGAAAGCCUUGGGGCUAAUACCCUCGAGGAAGGACAUCACCCACAGAAGAAGCACCGGCUAACUCCGUGCCAGCAGCCGCGGUAAUACGGAGGGUGCGAGCGUUAAUCGGAAUUACUGGGCGUAAAGCGCGCGUAGGCGGUCUGAUAAGCCGGUUGUGAAAGCCCCGGGCUCAACCUGGGAACGGCAUCCGGAACUGUCAGGCUAGAGUGCAGGAGAGGAAGGUAGAAUUCCCGGUGUAGCGGUGAAAUGCGUAGAGAUCGGGAGGAAUACCAGUGGCGAAGGCGGCCUUCUGGACUGACACUGACGCUGAGGUGCGAAAGCGUGGGUAGCAAACAGGAUUACAUACCCGGGUAGUC